UUGAUUCAUUUCGCUUCUAUACUCCGACGCAGAGAUGCAGUGUUUGAAGUGGCCCUCCGGGGGACGCCGACGCGGGGGCCGGGUCGCCCCCCGAAGCAACGGGGACGGUACGACACAGGGUUGGGAGGUCGGGCGCCGGGGCGCCCUCGCUCGGUAAUGAUCCCUCCGCAGGUUCACCUACGGAGA
rnacentral:misc_RNA from 1 species